rnacentral:rRNA from 1 species
UACGGAAGGCAGCAGUGGGGAAUAUUGCACAAUGGGCGAAAGCCUGAUGCAGCUAUGCCGCGUGUAUGAAGAAGGCCUUAGGGUUGUAAAGUACUUUCAUCGGGGAGGAAAAACAAAACUAAUAAUUUUAUUUCUUGACGUUACCCGAAAAAGAAGCACCGGCUAACUCCGUGCCAGCAGCCGCGGUAAUACGGAGGGUGCUAGCGUUAAUCAGAAUUACUGGGCGUAAAGAGCACGUAGGUGGUUUUUUUAAAGUCAGAUGUGAAAUCCCUGGGCUUAACCUAGGAACUGCAUUUUGAAACUGAAAUACUAGAGUAUCAUAGAGGGAGGUAGAAUUCUAGGUGUAGCGGUGAAAUGCGUAGAUAUCUGGAGGAAUACCUGUGGCGAAAGCGGCCUCCUAAACGAAUACUGACACUGAGGUGCGAAAGCGUGGGGAGCAAACAGGGAUUAGAUACC